rnacentral:rRNA from 1 species
UCUGGUUGAUCCUGCCUGAACUGAUGUGUUUAUUUCAAAGAUUAAGCCAUGCAUGUAUAAGUUUAAUCGUUUAUCGAGAAACCGCGAACGGCUCAUUACAAUGGCCAUUAUUUACUUGAUCUUGAUUGUCUAAAUGGAUAACUGUGGAAAAGCUAGAGCUAAUACAUGCACUAAAGCUUUGUCCUUACGGAAAAGCGCAUUUAUUAGAACAAAACCACGCGGCUUCGGCUGCUUCUUGUUGACUCAGAAUAACUUAGCUGACCGCAUGGCCUUGUGCCGGCGGCGUGUCUUUCAAGCGUCCACUUUAUCAACUUGACGGGAGCAUAAUCGACUCCCGUGGUGGUGACGGAUAACGGAGGAUCAGGGUUCGACUCCGGAGAAGGGGCCUGAGAAAUGGCCACUACGUCUAAGGAUGGCAGCAGGCGCGCAAAUUACCCACUCUCGGCUCGAGGAGGUAGUGACGAGAAAUAACGAGACUGUUCUCUUUGAGGCCGGUCAUCGGAAUGGGUACAAUUUAAACCCUUUAACGAGUAUCAAGCAGAGGGUAAGUCUGGUGCCAGCAGCCGCGGUAAUUCCAGCUCUGCAAAUACAUAGAAUUAUUGCUGCGGUUAGAAAGCUCAUAGUUGGAUUCGUAUCGAUACCUUGGAACCCUUCGGGUGUCUCUAGGUGUUAUCGAUUUAUCGUAAUGUUCGGUUUUGAGUCCUUAACAGGAUUCUUAACAGGCAUUGCAAGUUUACUUUGAACAAAUCAGAGUGCUUCAAACAGGCGUUUUCGCUUGAAUGAUCGUGCAUGGAAUAAUAGAAAAUGAUUUCGGUUCAGUUUUAUUGGUUUUACGGACUGAGAUAAUGGUUAACAGAGACAAACGGGGCAUUUGUAUGGUCCCGUGAGAGGUGAAAUUCUUGGACCGUGGCCAGACAAACUACAGCGAAAGCAUUUGCCAAGAAUGUUUUUAUUAAUCAAGAACGAAAGUCAGAGGUUCGAAGGCGAUCAGAUACCGCCCUAGUUCUGACCGUAAACGAUGCCAACUAGCGAUCCGCCGAUGGAAAUUAUAUUGCCUUGGUGGGGAGCUUCCCGGAAACGAAAGUCUUCCGGUUCCGGGGAAGUAUGGUUGCAAAGCUGAAACUUAAAGGAAUUGACGGAAGGGCACCACCAGGAGUGGAGCCUGCGGCUUAAUUUGACUCAACACGGGGAAACUCACCCGGCCCGGACACUGUGAGGAUUGACAGAUUGAUAGCUUUUUCAUGAUUCAGUGGAUGGUGGUGCAUGGCCGUUCUUAGUUCGUGGAGUGAUUUGUCUGGUUUAUUCCGAUAACGAGCGAGACUCUAACCUACUAAAUAGUUGGUACAUACUCUUAGUGUAUACAGCUUCUUAGAGGGAUUUGCGGCGUUCAGCCGAAAGAAAUUGAGCAAUAACAGGUCUGUGAUGCCCUUAGAUGUCCGGGGCUGCACGCGCGCUACACUGGCAAAAUCAACGUGCUUGUCCUACCCUGAAAGGGGCGGGUAAACCAUUGAAAAUUUGCCGUGAUUGGGAUCGGAAAUUGCAAUUAUUUUCCGUGAACGAGGAAUUCCAAGUAAGUGCGAGUCAUCAGCUCGCGUUGAUUACGUCCCUGCCCUUUGUACACACCGCCCGUCGCUGCCCGGGACUGAGCCAUUUCGAGAAAUUUGGGGACCGUUGAUUUAAUUUUUCUAAAUUACUUUGAUGGAAACCAAUUUAAUCGCAGUGGCUUGAACCGGGCAAAAGUCGUAACAAGGUAGCUGUAGGUGAACCUGCUGCUG